AACCAUUGCCCAUUCACCUUCGGAAACUAGUGAAUGUGGUGUCAAAAGGCAUAAACUAAACACUUUGCAGCCCUUUCCUGCCUUUGAAUAUGAUGUCUUUGGUGUAGGAGCUACAUAAGUAACAGUU